UUAUUAUUAUUAUUGUUAUUAUUAUUGUUAUUGUUAUUAUUAUUAUUAUUAGUCAGACAGUGGGUCCAGUAUUGAGGGAGAGUGGAGCAGCUGAGAGACGAGCUCAAAUCUAGUUUGAUCUGGAGACUGUAGAUCCUCAAACUGUUUUUACUACAAGAACUUCUGAAACAUGGUCCAGGUUUUUCUCCACAUCUGGGCGUGUAAUGAAUGUUUACAGACUUUAACGUGAGCGUGUGAAACAUAACAGAACAUGACGGUAAAGAAGUGUGUAAGAGUGUGGUAAACAGACAGCAGACACACUCCUCAAAGAUAUUUUAUUAGUGAACAAGCAACCAGAGUGACAGGGUUAGAGUCAGUCAGGUUAGAGUUAGGUUAAGUUGGGUUAGGGUUUGGUUAAGUUGGGUUAGGGUUUGGUUAAGUUGGGUUAUAGUUAGGUUAUGUCGGGUUAGGGUUAGGUUAAGUCAGGUUCGGUUAAGUUGGGUUAGGGUUAGGGUUAGGUUAAGUUCGGUUAGGGUUAGGUUCAGGUUAGGAUUAGGGUUGGGUUAGUGUUAGGGUUAGGGUUAGGUUAGGGUUCAGUUAAGUUGGGCUAGGGUUAGUUUCAGGUUCAAUCUUGAUACUCAGACUGUUUUUGGAGACUUACUGCAUCAAACAGAUCUGUUUACUGUUUACAGUUUUUAUUUGAUCCUCAUUAAAUCAAACUUUAACUUCUGCUUCAUCUUCUAAAUCCUCUGAAACUGCAGGAAGUCCGUUUCACAUCUUCUUCCCCCCCUCGGUGGGUUUGAUGCCAGUUUUUGCUCGUGAUGCUGAUGAAACCCUUAUCAUCAUAAUUUCCUUCUUUGUCUCCAGAAGAUGUUCAGUCAGUGAUGUUGUCAGUGUUUCUGGCGGGUUUGAUGCCAGUUUAUUUCGGUCUAGCAGAGAUCCUGGCUGCCCUUCAGCUCCUCGCCCACCUCCAGGAGCUCAUAAGCUCUCUAAUUGUCACGCCACUUCCCAUUACACUUGUCAUUCCUCACGCCACGCUCCCCUGCCCGUGUGCCCGACCAGCUGCUCUGCAGGGCGAGGUGUGAGUGACUCUGGAGACUUAAGUCACAUGACCUCUGGCGUUCAAAUCCAACCUGGAGUCAUGGACACGACUUCAAAAUAAAAGCAUGAUGUGAAAAAAAGAGGCGGUCUCUCCGUAGAAUAAAAGCUUUUGUUUUGAAAAGCCUUCAGGAAGUAUAACGGCAGGAUAGGUUGGUGGUUCUGAUUCUUGGUUCUUCUGAGGAUCAGCCGGGUCGGUCCUCCUCACCAAGUCUCAUUUAAAUAAAUAAGAGUUUAAGGAGUGAGAGGAUGAAAACUCUCCUACAGCCGAAUAACCAUCUGUGAAAGCUGCUCCUGAGGUUAAAGAACCGCCGCCGCCGCUGCUGCAGACCCGGUGGAGGACUGUUGGAGGGAGACGUCUCUUCCUCUCUUCACGCUCUGACCUUUCUCUUAAUUGGCCGCCGUGUCUUUACUCAGAGUCUGUUGGUCUCCUCGCCGAGUCGUUUCUGCUCUUCCUGUGAAAGUGUCUUCCUCUGACCUGUAAUUGGACGAGCUCUCACCUCUCCAGAGCGCCGUCUUUCUGACGCUCUCUUUAUUCUUUAUUAUGCAGAUGAGGCUGAUUUGAGAGCGAGCGCCAUCACUCUGCUUUGGAUCCUGAGGUCUAAGUUUCAGCUCCGAUGUUGGACUAAAGUCAUGAACCUGCUCCAUUCAUGUGUUCAUAAGUCUGUUGAUUUAGAGCAGAUCUCUGAUGGCCAAUCACAGUAAGUCCAGAGUUUUCAGCUCAUGUGUAGAAGUGUAAUCUGACAGAUUAUCUCAGAUUAAAUCAUCUCUUUAUUAAAGUCAGUAAUCCUCGUAUUUAAUCCAUGACAGUCUCUGCAUGGACAUAAAUCAGCUUCUAUUAACCCAAACUAGCAUUAUAAUAUACGUGUGUGUGUGUGUGUGUGUGUGUGUGUGUGUGUGUGUGUGUGUGUGUGUGUUAUAGACUUGAUGUAUUGAUAUGUUUAUUUCAAUUUAUUUCCAGACCUCAUCCUGAGACUCUGACCCUCAGAUCAAUACUUUCAUUUAUGGUCCAGCUCCUUCAAUCAAUUCAGCCCCUCGCCCCCCUCCACAGCAGACCGCCUCCAACUGGACACAGAGCUCCACCCCCCCACCCCCCCCACCCUUUACCCCCCACUUUUUCUACCCUACCACACACACACACACACACACACACACACACACACACGCACACACACAUUCAGAUUUUGGCUGCAGGUCAUCCUUCUCCGCUGAUCUUCAUCUUUUCACUUUCCUGCCCCCCCGAUGAUGAAGUUGUUAUUUUUAAAAAUGAAGUUGUUAUUUUUAAGAACUUUUGUUCUACAGCAGCUCAUUAGUAAUUCAGCUCUGAUUGAUGGGCGGAGUCGAACAUUUCAGGUGUAGAAGGAGAGGCAGGUAACACAUUGUUAAUGUGUUCAUAAAGAGGUGUGUUCUCCUGAAUGUGUUCAUGUGUUCAUAUAGAGAUAAGUCCUGCUGACUGAGUUCAUGUGAUCAUUUGAGGUGAGUCCCUCUGACUGUGUUCAUGUGUUCAUAUGGUCAUGUGUUCAUAUGGAGGUGAGUCCCUUUGACUGUGUUCAUGUGUUCAUACAGAGGUGGGCCCUUUUUGACUGUGUUCAUGUGUUCAUACGUUUAUGUGUUCAUAUGGAGGUGGGCCUUCUUUGACUGUGUUCAUGUGUUCAUGUGUUCAUACAGAGGUGAGUCCCUCUGACUGUGUUCAUGUGUUCAUAUGUGCAGGUGUUCAUACAGAGGUGAGUCCCUCUGACUGUGUUCAUGUGUUCAUAUGUUCAUACAGAGGUGGGCCCUCUUUGACUGUGUUCAUGUGUUCAUAUGUUCAUGUGUUCAUAUGGAGGUGAGUCCCUCUGACUGUGUUCAUGCGUUCAUAUGUUCAUGUGUUCAUACAGAGGUGGGCCCUCUUUGACUGUGUUCAUGUGUUCAUAUGUUCAUGUGUUCAUACAGAGGUGGGCCUUCUUUGACUGUGUUCAUGUGUUCAUAUGUUCAUGUGUUCAUACAGAGGUGGGCCCUUUUUGACUGUGUUCAUGUGUUCAUACGUUUAUGUGUUCAUAUAGAGGUGGGCCUUCUUUGACUGUGUUCAUGUGUUCAUGUGGAGGUGAGUCCCUCUGACUGUUCAUGUGUUCAUAUGUUCAUGUGUUCAUAUAGAGGUGGGCCUUCUUUGACUGUGUUCAUGUGUUCAUGUGUUCAUGUGUUCAUACAGAGGUGGGCCUUCUUUGACUGUGUUCAUGUGUUCAUAUGUUCAUGUGUUCAUACAGAGGUGGGCCUUCUUUGACUGUGUUCAUGUGUUCAUGUGGAGGUGAGUCCCUCUGACUGUUCAUGUGUUCAUAUGUUCAUGUGUUCAUAUAGAGGUGGGCCUUCUUUGACUGUGUUCAUGUGUUCAUGUGUUCAUGUGUUCAUACAGAGGUGGGCCUUCUUUGACUGUGUUCAUGUGUUCAUAUGUUCAUGUGUUCAUACAGAGUCGGUCUUUCGCAGUCAGCUGUUUUGGUCUCGAAGGUAAAUUUAACCCUUGACCCUCCGGGUUUUCCUCGUGGCCCUUCUGGGUCUGAGGAGCGUUGGCGGUUUUUAUUCUCUUUAAAAAGAAGCGGCGUGCGCCGGCGGCGGCGGCAUCGCUCACACCGCCCUUCGCCUUCUCUGGAUUUAUUAGCCAAUUUCCUCGACCAUUGUCUUUCACUUCAAUCUCAGAGUGAGGCAGCAGCGAGCAGAAUAUAGGGCCGCAAUCAUCGGAGUGUGUGGCGACAAAAACCCGCAGCGGCGGCGCUCUUACCUGGAACUCAAUAGAUAUUCAUGAACAUUCGCGUAUUUAGAGAAGGAAAUAACUUAAUACCGACAGUGGCGAUGGAAUAAUCGCCGUUUCCUGCCUGACUUGCAGCCCCUCAGAAAAUGAGAUUGCACCGGCCGUCAUUUUUCUUGUCUGCUGGGUGUUUCCACUCUGAGGUCUACGGCUGCGGCUACGCUCGCUGCAUCACCAAUGAGGGAGAGAGAGAAGGAGGGGUGACAGAGAGAGAGGGGAGAGAGAGGGAGAUGGAGGGGGGAGACAGGAGGAGGAGAAAGAGGAGGAGGGUGAGUGAGUGGGGCCGCUCUCAUGAGAAGACAGGAUUGGUCGUUUGAUCCUCCAGAAAGAAAAGCUGCAGGUUAAAUACGAAAUAAGAGCGUAAACCAAAAUACAGACUUUUAUUUUGUCGGGACAGGCUGUUCCUCUUCCUCUGAGCGUUCCAUCACACA